UGCCUAACACAUGCAAGUCGAACGAAUUUUUAAAACUGAAGUUUCGAUGGAUGUUUUAAAAAUUAGUGGCAAACGGGUGAGUAAUACAUAGGUAACCUACCCUUGGGUCUGGGAUAACUUUCCGAAAGGAAAGCUAAUACCGGAUAUACUCUUCAAAUCUAGUGAUUUGAAGAGGAAAGUUUUUUCGCCCUUGGAGGGGCCUAUGUCUGAUUAGCUAGUUGGUGGGGUAAUGGCCUACCAAGGCUACAAUCAGUAGCUGGUCUGAGAGGAUGGUCAGCCACACUGGAACCGAGACACGGUCCAGACUCCUACGGGAGGCAGCAGUGGGGAAUAUUGGACAAUGGGGGCAACCCUGAUCCAGCAAUGCCGCGUGUGUGAAGAAGGCCUGAGGGUUGUAAAGCGC
rnacentral:rRNA from 1 species